GACGAACGCUGGCGGCGUGCUUAACACAUGCAAGUCGAACGGAAGGGCCUGCUUUCCCUUGUGGAUUGCGGGUACUCGAGUGGCGAACGGGUGAGUAACACGUGAGUGAUCUGCCCCCAACUUGGGUAUAAGCCUGGGAGACUGGGUCUAAUUCCCGAUAGGACUGCAGGGUGGUGCCUGUGGUGGAAAACGAUUUUCUAGUGGUUGGGGAUGAGCUCGCGGCCUAUCAGCUUGUUGGUGGGGUAAUGGCCUACCAAGGCGGCGACGGGUAGCCGGCCUGAGAGGGUGGACGGCCACAUUGGGACUGAGAUACGGCCCAGACUCCUACGGGAGGCAGCAGUGGGGAAUAUUGCACAAUGGGCGGAAGCCUGAUGCAGCGACGCCGCGUGGGGGAUGACGGCCUUCGGGUUGUAAACUCCUUUCGACCGCGAGGAAGCCACCUGGUUGGAAGGGUGGUGACGGUAGUGGUAGAAGAAGCACCGGCUAACUACGUG
rnacentral:rRNA from 1 species